UCAUUUUCGUAUCUCAAGAAGCCUUUUUGAAAAUCUAAGUGAAGAAUUAAUGCAAAGCGAGUAUUACAGCAAUCUUCGUGCUUACAAAAGACUACCCGAAAAGACAUAUUUGUUGGUAUUUUUAUGGUUUGCUGGCCAUGAAGCAUGCAGCUUCCGAGAUUUGUCAGAUCGCUUUAAUAUGUCGAUAUCAACUAUAUCUAAAAUAAUACAUAUUGUGACAAUGUUUCUCAGCAAUUUAAGUCCGGAUGUUAUAAAAUGGCCUAAUCAGCAGAAGAAACAAGAAUCCAGUCAAUAUUUUGAUAAUAAGUGCAUGUAAUUGCUUUGGAGAAAUAGGAUGCAUCGAUGGAACCCACAUAGAAAUUUUCCCACCAAAAAGGGGAAAAGAUGAGUACAUUGACAGAAAAGGCAUCGUAUCGGUUGUUCUGCAAGGGGUCUGUAAUGAGCAAAAAAAGUUCAUUAACAUAUUUUUUGGAUACCCGGGUUCCAGCCACGAUAGUUGGGUUUUCAAAAAUUCUCCCAUAUAUAAUAAAUUACCUUCGUAUUGCGGAGAUUACUACCUAAAAGGUGAUUCGGCGUACCCUUGCAGCAAAUAUGUAAUCACUCCAUAUAGAGAUAACGGCCAUUUGACUCGUGCUCAGAAAAUAUUCAAUGGCAAGUUGAGUUCUGGUCGUGUUGCAAUCGAACACACGUUUGGGAUUUUAAAAGAAAGAUUCAGGCAGUUGUAUUAUUGCAAGUUGAGAGGCAUGAAAAAACUCUGUCAUUUUGUGCGUGCUUGUUGUAUUUUACAUAAAUUAGCAAAUGAAGACGAUUUGAAUUUUAGCGAAGAGCCAUUUGCCGAAGAUUUAUAUGAAAAUUCAAGUCGUGGUGAAACAUCGAGAAGAAAUUGCGACCGUGAUCUAAUUUGCCAAAAUAUUCAA